GAUGAGCGCUGGCGGCGUGCCUAACACAUGCGAGUCGAGCGAUUUACUUCGGUAAAGAGCGGCGGACGGGUGAGUAACGCGUGGGUAACCUGCCCUGUACACACGGAUAACAUACUGAAAGGUAUGCUAAUACGGGAUAACAUAAGAGAGUAGCAUGGCUUUCUUAUCAAAGCUUUUGCGGUACAGGAUGGACCCGCGGCUGAUUAGCUAGUUGGUAAGGUAACGGCUUACCAAGGCAACGAUCAGUAGCCGACCUGAGAGGGUGAUCGGCCACAUUGGAACUGAGACACGGUCCAAACUCCUACGGGAGGCAGCAGUGGGGAAUAUUGCACAAUGGGCGAAAGCCUGAUGCAGCAACGCCGCGUGAGCGAUGAAGGCCUUCGGGUCGUAAAGCUCUGUCCUCAAGGAAGAUAAUGACGGUACUUGAGGAGGAAGCCCCGGCUAACUACGUGCCAGCCGCCGCCGUAA
rnacentral:rRNA from 1 species